CCUAUAGGAAAAAUUCCUAUAAGAAUUUGGGACAAAAUUCCUAUAGGAAUUUUUCCUAUAGGAAUUCCUAUAGGAAUUCCUAUAGGAAAAAUUCCUAUAGGAAAAAUUCCUAUAGGAAUUUUGUCCCAAAUUCUUAUAGGAAUUUUUCCUAUAGGAAUUUUUGCUAUAGGAAUUCC